GCCUGGCUAGCUCAGUUGGUAGUACAUGGGCCUCUUGAGCUCAGGAGCAUGAGUUUGAACCCCAUGCUGGGUG